rnacentral:rRNA from 1 species
AUUGAACGCUGGCGGCGUGCUUUACACAUGCAAGUCGGACGAGUGGCGAACGGGUGAGUAACGCAUCGGAACGUACCGAGUAAUGGGGGAUAACUGUCCGAAAGGACAGCUAAUACCGCAUACUAUUCGAGCGGCCGAUGUCUGAUUAGCUGGUUGGCGGGGUAAAGGCCCACCAAGGCGACGAUCAGUAGCGGGUCCGAGAGGAUGAUCGGCAAAGCUGGGACUAGGAAACGGCCCGGACUCCUACGGGGGGCAGCAGUGGGGAAUUUUGGACAAUGGGCGCAAGCCUGAUCCAGCAAUGCCGCGUGUCUGAAGAGGGCCUUCGGGUUGUAAAGGACUUUUGUCAGGGAAGCGGUACCUGAAGAAUAAGCACCGGCUAACUACGUGCCAGCAGCCGCGGUAAUAC